GCGCACCUCUCCCCUGCUCACAUGACGCCUUUCUGUGCGCUCCCUCUCCUCUCAGCGCUCAAUCCCGGCGAGUGCAGGCAUCACUGAAGACCUGACACCGGCGGAAUCGGACGUCCACUGUCCUCGGCAGAAUUAACCAGGUGUUAUCUUAUGCAAACUUUAUCGCCGUCAGAUGAAGAUGACCAUCCCGGCGAUGAGGAUGAGCGCGCUUCGGCGGAGGAGCAGACUUUUUUCCGUCUCCAAACGAGCGGAGAGGCGCAGGGGCGAGACAAUAACGCCCAGAAGUUAUUGAAAUGAAUCGAGCUGGCAUAAGAAGAAGAAACAAAAGGGGCGCUAGCAGCGUUAGCCUUGACCACAGAGGGAAGCACGGGAAGCAGAAGAGCAAACGAGGAAAACACAAGAGCGAUGAAAGAGAGGUCCAGACAUGAAGGAGGCACGCAUUCACAGACACACGUACAACGGCACCUAGAGUCUGUCUGCGGUCUACACCACCCUGCCACACACACACAUAUACACACACAAACACACACACAUGCCUGUUACGGUAAGAAUCAGAGACCACCGAGUUAGGGGGACAAUAAUAGUGUGAAUGUGAGAAAACAAACUCAUUAUCCACUGCUAUUUUCUCCUCUGAGUAAUUUAAAGACAAAUUGACUACUUGGAUUCCAAAGUGCUCUAAAUUCAGUAAUUAAAUAAAUAAAAUAAGAAUAUAAAAUAAAUUAGCUAAAUUCAGUCAUUUAACUUCUGAAAAGUAGUUUCUCGGUGCUGGUAAAUAAACAAUGAAAAGAACGUCUUUCAAUCAAA